AUGGAUCCCCUUCCCCUACACACAAUCAUCUGGCUUGUUUGUUGGUCAUUUUGGUUAUUCCCGUUCUGUGCAUCAUCCGGCAGCCACCUUCUUCCCGACAAGCCGCUUUCUGUUGGAAGCACCAUCACCUCCGAUGACGGCACUUUUGCCCUGGGAUUCUUCUCCCUGUCCAGCUCCAGCACAAAACAUUACUACGUCGGCAUAUGGUACAAGAACAUACCCGAAGACAACUUUGUGUGGGUUGCCAACCGUGCUAUGCCCAUAACUGAUCCUUCUUCUGCAACACUCGCGUUCACAAGCGGAUCCAAUCUCGCCUUGUCAGACACCAAAGAUACGCUUCUCUGGACGACAAACAUCAGCGCUGCAGGAAAUUCAUCGUCAGAGGCAACUGGUGGAAAAGCCAUGCUUGAUAACAAUGGGAAUUUUAUCCUUCAGUCAUCACAUGGCACCAUCAUAUGGCAAAGCUUCGAUUACCCGACCGACACUCUCCUUCCACGUAUGAACCUCAGGAUCACCCACAAGACGCAUGCACUACAACGGCUCAUCUCUUGGAGAAGCCCCCAAGACCCGUCCCCAGGCAACUUCUCAUAUGGUGCAGACCCUGAUGAGUUUCGACAGCGUUUUAUAUGGAAUGGCUCAACCCCAUACAUGCGAGGUUCGAUAUGGAACAACAAUUUGGUAGUUGGACAGUAUGUCGAGAGUAUCAAGUCCACAAUUUACUAUAGACUGCAACCUAUUGAUGAUGAGGUCUACGCUUCCUUUGGACUGCCGCCACCAAGUGUCGCAUUACUGCAAAUGAAGAUUGACUACUCAGGCAAGAUAAAAACACGAGUCUGGAAUAGCAACAAGUCCAAAUGGACUGACCUGUGGUCAGGACCUAACCACGAAUGCAACAAAUUUGGUUAUUGUGGUCCAUUUGGUUACUGCGACAACACACUGCCUAUUGUGACAUGCAAGUGUCUUGAUGGCUUUGAGCCAAACAACAAACAAGACUGGACGGCCAGCAGGUUUUCACAGGGAUGUCACCGAAUGGAAGCACUUACAUGUGGUCAAGGGGAUGGCUUCUUAAAUAUGUCAACCAUGAAGGUUCCCAGCCAGUUCUUGUAUGUCAAGAAUAGAAGCUUAGAUGAAUGCAUAGCAGAAUGCACCAGCAACUGCUCCUGCACGGCCUUUACUUACACCAAUAUGAGCAUUGAUGCUAUCAAUGGGGAUGAAACUAGGUGCCUAUUAUGGACCAGAGAUUUGAUCGACAUGGAGAAGCUCAUUGGACAAGGGGAAACCCUCUAUAUCCGAGUUAACGGAUUGAGUGGUACAGUUUACUGUUUCUGCUUCUCUGCUUGUGCUGUUAGAUAUACUCCUCUAUUUGCGGGUCCAGUGGAGCUCCAGUAA
rnacentral:rRNA from 1 species